rnacentral:rRNA from 1 species
AAAAACCAACAGGGGUAUUGGCCUUAUUAACGGCGAGUGAAGCGGCAAAAGCUCAAAUUUGAAAUCUCACCUAUUGUGCGAGUUGUAAAUUGCAGGUUGGAGUCUCGGGUUAAACGUGUGUGCAAGUCCCUUGGAACAGGGGGCCACUGAGGGUGAGAGCCCCGUAUCGUGCAUGUCGACCCCUGUGAGGCCCUUCUGACGAGUCAAGUUGUUUGGGAAUGCAGCUCUAAGUGGGUGGUAAAUUCCAUCUAAGGCUAAAUAUUGGCGAGAGACCGAUAGCGAACAAGUACUGUGAAGGAAAGAUGAAAAGCACUUUGAAAAGAGAGUGAAACAGCACGUGAAAUUGUUGAAAGGGAAGGGUAUUGGGCUCGACAUGGGAUUUACGCAUCGUUGCCUCUCGUGGGCGGCGCUCUGGGUUUUUCCUGGGCCAGCAUCGGUUUUCGUUGCAGGAUAAGGACAAUUGGAAUGUGGCUCCUCGGAGUGUUAUAGCCUUUUGUAUAUGCUGCGUAUGGGGACCGAGGGCUGCGGCGGACUCUUUUCGUCUCGGAUGCUGGCACAACGGCGCAAUACCGCCCGUCUUGAAACAAGGACCAAAAA